CCUACGGGAGGCAGCAGUGGGGAAUAUUGGGCAAUGGACGCAAGUCUGACCCAGCAACGCCGCGUGAAGGAAGAAGGCUUUCGGGUUGUAAACUUCUUUUAAGGGGGAAGAGCAGAAGACGGUACCUCUUGAAUAAGCCACGGCUAACUACGUGCCAGCAGCCGCGGUAAUACGUAGGUGGCAAGCGUUGUCCGGAUUUACUGGGUGUAAAGGGCGUGCAGCCGGAGAGACAAGUCAGAUGUGAAAUCCACGGGCUCAACCCGUGAACUGCAUUUGAAACUGUUUCCCUUGAGUGUCGGAGAGGUAGACGGAAUUCCUUGUGUAGCGGUGAAAUGCGUAGAUAUAAGGAAGAACACCAGUGGCGAAGGCGGAUUACUGGACGAUAACUGACGGUGAGGCGCGAAAGCGUGGGGAGCAAACAGGAUUAGAUACCCCAGUAGUC
rnacentral:rRNA from 1 species